UGCGUAGGGUGCAAGCGUUGUCCGGAAUUAUUGGGCGUAAAGAGCUCGUAGGCGGUUCGUCGCGUCGGCUGUGAAAUCCCGAGGCUCAACCUCGGGUCUGCAGUCGAUACGGGCGGACUGGAGUUCGGCAGGGGAGACUGGAAUUCCUGGUGUAGCGGUGAAAUGCGCAGCUAUCAGGAGGAACACCGGUGGCGAAGGCGGGUCUCUGGGCCGAUGACUGACGCUGAGGAGCGAAAGCGUGGGGAGCGAACAGG
rnacentral:rRNA from 1 species